rnacentral:lncRNA from 1 species
GAGGAAUUGAGGAAGGACAGAGAGCAGGAGCAUAUGGACAGAGGAGAGGCAGAAGCCGGGCUCUGCAGGGCUGUGGAAGCUGGAGGAGUAGGUUGUCCCAGAGUCCCGUACCCCUGGGGAUCCAGGAAGCAUUUCAGAGCUUCCUGUGUGCAGCAUGGAUCUAAAGCUGGUGGAUGCAGGGGGGUGAACAAGACAACAUCUUCACUUCCUGCAUGCUGAUGGCAGAAGUGAGACAUCAGCGAAGAAACAUCACGAUCACCAAAUUACGAUGAACACCAUGGAGGAAACAAAGGACACUGUGACACCAAGGAAGGAAGGGAGGUUACUUUUCAUAGUGGCUGUAAAUAGAACUGAAGGCUGAAAAACAGCUGUUAAAAUGGCUUGUUUGUUUGAAGAUGAAUGAGAGUACACAAUAAAAGGUAAUUCUCCCUCCCA